CUGUUACGCUUAGGCAAGGGAUUACUAAACAGAAAGAUAGUCCCACACCGGCAAUCCCUUGGGAUCUUUAUUAGUUAAUCCAUUAAGAGCAACCGGAGGUGAUCGUCUCUUUGGAGACAUCCGAUAAAAUUGGAACGAUACAGAGAAGAUUAGCAUGGCCCCUGCGCAAGGAUGACACGCACAAAUCGAGAAAUGGUCUAAAUUUUUUUGAUUUUUUUUUCCAAUUUCUUCACCUUCAAAAUUUUCCCAACUCCCUUCGAAGUUUAGGGUUGGGAGCUGGAUCGAUUAUUUGUUUUCAGGUUUUUCAUUCAUCCUCUUCAGGAAAUUCAAACCCACUUUAUUGUUGCUGUUUUGGUCAAUCUCUCUGGAUUUUAGGUAUUGCAAGGGAGAGCUUUUCAACACCAUCAUGAGAUCUGCUAUUCUACUCGUGUCCCUAGGCUUCACAAAUUCAAUAAUGAAGGUGGACACUUCCUUCUGAAAAAAGAAAAGACCAGAAGGGCCAUCAUCGGGCAACAAAGCCAACUUUACGGGACCUGCUGCACCUUCUCCAACAGUAAAGUGGCCAGUGUUGAAGUUAAUCUCAGUUUUGACAUAACCAGGGCAUACACAAUUUAUGCGGAAUUGGGGGAACUUCUUUGCCAGAAUUCUUGUGUAGGCAUUCAAAGCUGCUUUGGACAUAUUAUAGGCAGGCCACCCUUGGGUUUGAUCUUUGAAAUCAUUUAGAAACAAGUUCAAUGCCUCAUCCACUCUCUCUUCUGUGAGCCCAUUUACAUCGCCUAGCAUUUCCUUAGCCAAUGCAUGAGGGGCAUUCUGCAAAAAAGUAGAAGAAACAUUGACAAUUCUUGGUGAAUCAGACAACUGAAGAAGUGGAAGAAGUGCUUCAGUCACUCUUUUGGCACCAUGGUAGUUUGCUUCCAGACAUUCUUUGGCCAGCUCUGGAGUUUGCCUCACUAACUCCCUGCAUUUUGCUAGCCUAACUUGCGGCUGCAUCAAUAAAUAAAAGCAGUUUGGCAUUUUUUUUUUUCCUUAGUGCAGGUUGGUGAAUUAUCACAGGUGAAACCUUGGGUGGCCAUGUUAUUAAAGCAUCCAUGCGCAUAUCAAGAUCAAAUUUCAACCCAAAAAUGCAUUCAAAAUUGUGAAAAAAACCACCAGCCACUGAACCCCUUAUUUAAAGAUAUUGGAUUAGCAUUUUUAUGAGUUUGUUUAACUUUUGGGGAUUGUUUUCUUGUAGAAUGUAAAACUUCGAUAAAGAAAUAGACAACUGGAAAUAGAAGAGGAACAUGUA